rnacentral:rRNA from 1 species
AACUGAAGAGUUUGAUCAUGGCUCAGAUUGAACGCUGGCGGCAGGCUUAACACAUGCAAGUCGAGCGGAGAGAGGUAGCUUGCUACUGAUCUUAGCGGCGGACGGGUGAGUAAUGCUUAGGAAUCUGCCUAUUAGUGGGGGACAACAUUUCGAAAGGAAUGCUAAUACCGCAUACGUCCUACGGGAGAAAGCAGGGGAUCUUCGGACCUUGCGCUAAUAGAUGAGCCUAAGUCGGAUUAGCUAGUUGGUGGGGUAAAGGCCUACCA